rnacentral:rRNA from 1 species
CAACCAGACUCCUACGGGAGGCAGCAGUGGGGAAUAUUGGGCAAUGGGCGCAAGCCUGACCCAGCAAUGCCGCGUGAAGGAAGAAGGCCCUCGGGUUGUAAACUUCUUUUAUCAGGGACGAAGGAUGUGACGGUACCUGAUGAAUAAGCUCCGGCUAACUACGUGCCAGCAGCCGCGGUAAUACGUAGGGAGCAAGCGUUAUCCGGAUUUACUGGGUGUAAAGGGCGCGUAGGCGGGAUGGCAAGUCAGAUGUGAAAUCCGGGGGCUCAACCUGUGGCCUGCAUUUGAAACUGUAGUUCUUGAGUACUGGAGAGGCAGACGGAAUUCCUAGUGUAGCGGUGAAAUGCGUAGAUAUUAGGAGGAACACCAGUGGCGAAGGCGGUCUGCUGGACAGCAACUGACGCUGAGGCGCGAAAGCGUGGGGAGCAAACAGGAUUAGAUACCCGAGUA